AAGUUGGGCCAUGUGAAGUCACGUUACUCUUGGAAUGGACCCUCAAUUACGUAAAAAUAGCAACUAUUAACAUUACAAUUGUUUCUCAUUAUUGUUUGUUUGGGUUUUUGUCAUUUUGUGUAAUAAUUGUGCCACCCAAUUGCCAUAAUUAGUGAGCCAUUGCUCCCAUCACCUCACCUCUCUAUUGCCGCCUCCAUUACCUUGUAUAUCUCUACUGUCUCUUCCUUUCUUCAUCUCUCACUUCAAUAAAAUAUCAUGCAUGAUAUUGUUGUAGAGAAUUAAAGAGGUAUGAAGAAGCCUUAUGCUUUUGUUUCAUGCUCCCAUGUUUUCUCUUCUAU